GCGAUGUGAGGAGCGGCAUGGGCAGUAAGGGGGGCUUGUCUAUCUGGAUGCAGGCAAUAAACGUCUGUUCUCACCCUGACUUCUGUUAAUGAGAUAGAGACAGCCAUACGCGACUGCUCGUCCAUGGAGUGGGAAGCCUUGGGAAGGGCAGGGACAUCUCCACCUGAGCAGAGAGAGUUUUAGGACAUGCACAGGCUAAGACUGUUCAGAGCCGAAGAGUCAGCGAGCGUCAGAGCAGAGGAGCAGGAAGGAGACGCGUGAACUCCCAGCCCAGCCGGCGCCAGCACCCGGGGACCACAGCUCCAUCAGGAUCUCAGUGAGAGGAGACAGGACCUUUCCAGCCCGUGGGCUCCUCGUCGCUGCUGGCCACCACAAGCCUGGACUUGCUGCCUGACAUCCCCAGCUUCUCCAGGAGGGCCCUUCCUGCCCCACAAUGGCCCCAGAGAAGAGGUGGCUUUUGCUCAGGAACAGAGAGAUUUUCUCCAUGGCUUCAAAUCCCAGCAGCCCAACCCUGGGGAGGGAGCCAGGGAAACCCAGGGAGCCCACUGAAAAUCCCGCAUAAGUCCUGAAUGUUGUACCUGUCUUUGGUGCCCUAAACACCUCCAGACGAGCUUGUCCUGCUCAGGCAGGGAGAUCUAAGCAGGCCACUGCCUCGAGAGGCAAAAUGCAAGGAGGAUAGAGGGAGCGGGAGGGAAAUCCAAGUCGGCCGAGUGUUGUUAAUAGCACCAGUGAGCACAAAGGUUGGGCUCUGAUCACAGUGUGGCCGUCCCGCUGGGGCUGAGGGUGAAAUCCCGCAGGACUGUGCAUCCCUCCGGCCCCGCUGCCCUUUUAUUGCCCGUGUCCCUAGUCCCGUGCGAGAAAUGUACUGGCU